UUGUUUUAAUAUUUGAUGAACUUUAUACACUAUAAAUUGAUAUAAUUGUAUUCUAUUUGUCAUAUACAAAAAGAAAUAAAAUAUGAAUAAAAAUCUUAAGUUAGCUCCCGCAAUAAUUUUAUUUGCUUUCCUAUUUUUUGUUACAGGAGAGGUUGACUGCUGGGUAAUUGACACGCAACCCACAGAUACCAAAUGUACAUCCACUAAAGAUUGUUUUGAUUUUGUAGUAGAACCCCAAUGCUUCGUUUCUGUGUGCGACAAUGGCUAUUGUGCCACCAUCGUUAAGCUUCAAUUUCCAUUAUAGGUACCCAAACGCCAUAUGUAGGGAGGAAUGUCAUCUAAUAGCAACAUGAACUUUCUACGUGCAUUGAUGGAUAUCGUUAAUAAGAGGUAUCAAAUUCAAGAGAGUAGAUAAUCUCUUCAAUAAUUGUGUUACCACUAAAUAAUUUUAUUUUUAUCUUUCAAUUCAUAAUUUUACCUUUAAACUAUAGCUUUGUAUUCUAAACAUAAAAGAAAUAAGACACUAAAUAUUAUAGUUAAAUUGUCUUCUAUCUUGAUUUUAUGUUUCA